rnacentral:rRNA from 1 species
GAUCCUGGCUCAGGACGAACGCUGGCGGCGCGCCUAACACAUGCAAGUCGAACGAGAGAUGAGGAGCUUGCUCUUCAAAUCGAGUGGCGAACGGGUGAGUAACGCGUGAGGAACCUGCCUCAAAGAGGGGGACAACAGUUGGAAACGACUGCUAAUACCGCAUAAGCCCACGGCUCGGCAUCGAGCAGAGGGAAAAGGAGUGAUCCGCUUUGAGAUGGCCUCGCGUCCGAUAG